CGCGCUUUUAAGCUCCACGACCUUAUCUCUCAUACCUCAGCCGCCUGGCCUGAAGCGAAGCUGUCUUGCCCGAGAAGAGAGUGGUCACGGUGUCGCGUGGUAACAAAGCUUAGGACGAGGAGAGCCUACAUGAGAAAGGACGUCCUCCGGUAGAGGAAGGGAAAGGGAGAGAAAAUCAUUGAUCGCUGCCUUCUGCACACCUCCUACUGUGGAUGGAACCUGCAACCCAGACAUGUGCCCUGACCGUGAUUUGAAUCGUGACUCCUAGUGUCAUAGAUCAAUACCCAACCACUGAGCUACACCAAGUCUCCCAUCAGGAUAAAGCAGCAUCUGUCAUGCAAAUACCGCCCUGUGCAGAAGUGAGGGAAGACUGCUGCAGAAGUGAAUACAGGCAACAUCUUUGAUCCCAGGGCACAGGUCUUUGAGAGGAAAUCUCCAAGCCUCUCGAAGAGGCAUUAGAAGGCUAUCCAGGCAGCAAAAGUACCUCAGGUGAAAUGCAGGGAGUUUCUGUAUAAGGGCUUUCGUAUUCUGCAUUCUUCUAGAGCCCUUUGUGAUAAAUGUCGCUGGGUGGAUUGCAUGAUUUGGUGUGGCUUCAUGGGGAUAUGCACAUGAUAGAGAACAUGAUCUCUGCUUGCCAAAUAAUGUAGAGCCUAAGGAGAAAAUCCGUAAUCAGUAUUGAGACUGCUCUUAAGAACUGUUCUAGAUUUCAAGCCCGUUCUUCCUGGUUCAUCAGAGAACUACCAGAUAUUUUUCUC